UUAUUCCCCUCUCACUUACACCUCUCUCUCUCUCUCUAACCCAAGUUGGAGUCGGCCACAAACAAACCCUCUCUCGUUCUCUUCUCUUCUUCUGGAAACCCCAAAAGUCCAAAUCUCAGAUAUAUAUAUGCAUACAUAUAUACACAUAUAUUUAUAGAAAGAGAUAGAGAAGGAGAAAGGUGUUGAAUUGAAUUGAAUUGAAUUGAGAUGGAUUCGGAUCAGGGGAAGCUAUUCAUUGGCGGAAUUUCGUGGGAGACGACGGAGGAGAAGCUCAAGGAGUACUUCGAGAACUAUGGCGAUGUUUUGCAGACCGUCGUUAUGAGGGAAAAGUUCACCGGUCGGCCCAGGGGUUUCGGCUUCGUCGUCUUCACAGAUCCCUCCGUUCUCGAUAGGGUUCUUCAGGACAAUCACUCCAUUGAUGGUCGAACGGUUGAGGCUAAAAGGGCCUUAUCAAGAGAGGAGCAGCAAACCUCCGGGCGAGCCGGAAACUCUUACCCUGCGAGAAACUCUGGUGAUGGUGGGAAUGUCAGGACCAAGAAGAUUUUUGUUGGAGGGUUGCCUCCCACUUUAACUGAAGAAGGUUUUCGGGAGUAUUUUGAAGCUUAUGGGCGUGUAACUGAUGUAGUAGUUAUGUACGACCAAAAUACAGGACGACCUCGUGGCUUUGGAUUUAUUUCCUUCGAUGCUGAAGAUGCAGUUGAUAGGGUUUUGCACAAGACAUUUCAUGAUUUAAAUGGUAAGCAAGUGGAAGUAAAGCGGGCUCUUCCUAAAGAUGUCAACCCUGGUGGAGGUGGCCGCACAAUGGGUGGCGGGGCUUAUCAGGGAUAUGGGACAUCUGGUGGAAACCAAAAUACUUAUGAUGGUCGAAUGGAUUCCAACAGGUUCAUGCAGCCUCAGAAUACUGGUGGUUUUCCACCUUAUGGUUCUUCUGGUUAUGGUGCACCUGGAUAUGGAUACGGUCCUUCAAAUAAUGGAAUAGGUUAUGGCAGUUAUGUGGGUGCCAAUACUGGCUACACUGGCCCUACUGGUACUGCCUAUGGGAAUCCUAAUGCUCCUAAUACUGGUUAUGCGGGUGGUCCACCAGGUGGCCGAAAUUCAUGGAGCACACAGGCCCCUGCAGGGUAUGGCACCAUGGGCUAUGGGAAUACCGCUCCCUGGGGUGUUACAAGCAGUGGUGCUGGGGCAGGCAGUGGGGUCCCAGGUUCUACUCCCCCAGGUCAAUCUCCGAGUGCUGCUGGGUAUGGAACUCAAGGAUAUGGUUAUGGUGGGUAUAAUGGUGGUGAUGGGUCCUAUGGGAAUUCAUCCGGGUAUGGUGCUGUUGGUGGGCGUUCUGGGAGUAUCCUAAACAGUGUUAGUGGUCCAGGUGAACUACAAGGAAGUGGCAGUGGCUACUUAAGUGGCUAUGGUGAUGCAAAUGGAACAUAUGGAAAUGCAGCAUGGAGGUCUGAUCAGUCACAAGCUUCUGGAAACUAUGGCGUUCCUCAAACAAAUGGUGCGCAAGUUAGUUAUGCCAGUGCUGGGUAUGGUAGUGCUCAGGGCCGACAAGCACAACAGCAGUAAUUUUAAUGGUUGGAAGUUUAAUUGAACCUUGAUCUUCCUCUGAUGGAUUGGCGGCAUGGGGUCACAAUGGUUUCUCAUUGCCAGCUGCAGCAGCCUCAAUUUGGAUGUCGAUUCUCUUUGGGACUGGAGGAGAGGUGCGCAAGUUCUAAGUGAAGUGUCCACUCAUGGCUGAACACGAGCUUCAUAGUGGGUGCAUCUUCACUUGAGGGGUGUUCGGCAUGGAAUGGAAGUUGAGGAGUUUGUUCAGUUGAAAUUAUGCUUUUUACUGAGACAAUUCUCCAGCCAGACCAACAUUGUGAAACUUUGCAGAUUCCUCGGCAUCCCAAGUCACUAAUUUUGCAAUGACUUGGUUUUGUGGUCGCGUAAUGGAAAUUGUGAGGUGACAGCCUACGGUAUGUUGAGUAAUAGAGUAGUAAAAGUGCUGGUCCACUUUUGGAUUUUAUUGUGUAAAGGCUGUCUUUCGAUUGCUAGGAGUAUCAUUCCAUAUGAUUCCUAAUGUGUUAGAUUCCUAAUGUGUGUUAGACUACAAAAAAGGUGUUGAAAACAGUUUUCAUGAAUUUCAGAAGGAAGCAGUAGAUCUUCUAAUUUGCUCGAUUGCUACAUGUCUUUUAGGAAAUAGGAUAAAUUAGUUCAAGUACUUGAAUUAGUUUCUUACUCUGCAUUGUUUGGGAAAUAAUUUAUGACUUCCAUGUGAAAUCAAUACAUUCGUUUAGGAGUCUUCUCUUCA